GUUAAAAUUGAUCUAGAGCAAAUUGAAGUCAUUGCCGAUUUCUAUGUGUUUCUGUUGGGUGGAGUUGAUAUAAUUUUGGGAAUUUCAUGGCUAAAAACGUUCGGUGAAGUUCAACAUAAUUGGGCAACUAGGCAAAUGUCAUUUCAACAGCAUGGACAACUGAUUACUCUAUGUGGCAACCCUUCUCUCACUAAAGCAAUGGUAACAAUUUCGCAGCUUCAGAAAUUGACAGAUAUUGAUUUUGGGGUGUUGCUCUGGGAAUUAAAUGAAUUAGAUGGUCAGAGAGAGUUUGAAGCAGAAAUCAGGCAAUCGCAACAAGAGGACUUGAAUAAUUUAGUCCGUGAGUUCAAUGAGGUGUCUGGAGACAUUACAAACCUUCCUCCUUCUCGCCCUACUGAUCAUGUCAUUCCUUUAAUAGAAGGAACUACUGUUGUUAAUGUAAGACCAUACUGAUAUGGGCAAUUCCAAAAAGAUGAAAUCAAGAAAAUGGUG
rnacentral:misc_RNA from 1 species